rnacentral:rRNA from 1 species
UAGCAUAUCAAUAAGCGGAGGAAAAGAAACCAACAGGGAUUGCCCUAGUAACGGCGAGUGAAGCGGCAACAGCUCAAAUUUGAAAUCUGGCUCUUUUAGAGUCCGAGUUGUAAUUUGCAGAGGGCGCUUUGGCUUUGGCAGCGGUCCAAGUUCCUUGGAACAGGACGUCACAGAGGGUGAGAAUCCCGUACGUGGUCGCUAGCUAUUGCCGUGUAAAGCCCCUUCGACGAGUCGAGUUGUUUGGGAAUGCAGCUCUAAAUGGGAGGUAAAUUUCUUCUAAAGCUAAAUAUUGGCCAGAGACCGAUAGCGCACAAGUAGAGUGAUCGAAAGAUGAAAAGCACUUUGGAAAGAGAGUCAAACAGCACGUGAAAUUGUUGAAAGGGAAGCGCUUGCAGCCAGACUUGCUUGCAGUUGCUCAUCCGGGCUUUUGCCCGGUGCACUCUUCUGCAGGCAGGCCAGCAUCAGUUUGGGCGGUGGGAUAAAGGUCUCUGACACGUUCCUUCCUUCGGGUUGGCCAUAUAGGGGAGACGUCAUACCACCAGCCUGGACUGAGGUCCGCGCAUCUGCUAGGAUGCUGGCGUAAUGGCUGUAAGCGGCCCGUCUUGAAACACGGACCAAGGAGUCUAACAUCUAUGCGAGUGUUUGGGUGUCAAGCCCGAGCGCGUAAUGAAAGUGAACGGAGGUGGGAACCCGCAAGGGUGCACCAUCGACCGAUCCUGAAGUUUACGGAAGGAUUUGAGUAAGAGCAUGGCUGUUGGGACCCGAAAGAUGGUGAACUAUGCUUGAAUAGGGUGAAGCCAGAGGAAACUCUGGUGGAGGCUCGCAGCGGUUCUGACGUGCAAAUCGAUCGUCAAAUUUGGGCAUAGGGGCGAAAGACUAAUCGAACUAUCUAGUAGCUGGUUCCUGCCAAU